AGUUAAGUGACUAAGCGCACAAGGUGGAUGCCUUGGCAAUCAGAGGCGAAGAAGGACGUGCUAAUCUGCGAAAAGCUUGGAUGAGUCGAUAAGAGGCGUUUAAUCCAAGAUGUCCGAAUGGGGAAACCCAGUAGGUGAAGAACCUACUAUCACCCAGUGAAUACAUAGCUGUGUGAGGCAAACCGGGAGAACUGAAACAUCUAAGUACCCCGAGGAAAAGAAAUCAACCGAGAUUUCGUUAGUAGCGGCGAGCGAACGCGAAAGAGCCAGUUAGUGAUAGCAGUAAAGUUAGGGGAAUGUUCUGGGAAGGACAAUCGUAGAGGGUGAUAAUCCCGUACCUUAAAACUCCAUUGUGGUACUAGGCUAACAACAAGUAGGGCGGGACACGUGAUAUCCUGUUUGAAGAUGGGGGGACCAUCCUCCAAGGCUAAAUACUCCUGAUUGACCGAUAGUGAACCAGUACUGUGAAGGAAAGGUGAAAAGAACCCCGGCGAGGGGAGUGAAAUAGAACCUGAAACCUUGUGCGUACAAGCAGUGGGAGCAAGAGUAAUCUUGUGACUGCGUACCUUUUGUAUAAUGGGUCAGCGACUUAUAUUUUGUAGCAAGGUUAACUGAAUAAGGGAGCCGUAGGGAAACCGAGUCUUAACUGGGCGUGUAGUUGCAAGGUAUAGACCCGAAACCCGGUGAUCUAGCCAUGGGCAGGUUGAAGGUUGGGUAACACUAACUGGAGGACCGAACCGACUAAUGUUGAAAAAUUAGCGGAUGACUUGUGGCUGGGGGUGAAAGGCCAAUCAAACCGGGAGAUAGCUGGUUCUCCCCGAAAUCUAUUUAGGUAGAGCCUUGAGCGGACACCUUCGGGGGUAGAGCACUGUUUCGGCUAGGGGUCCAUCCCGGAUUACCAACCCGAUGCAAACUGCGAAUACCGAAGAGUGAUACUCAGGAGACACACGGUGGGUGCUAACGUCCAUCGUGGAGAGGGAAACAACCCAGACCGCCAGCUAAGGUCCCAAAGUCUAUAUUAAGUGGGAAACGAAGUGGGAAGGCUUAGACAGCUAGGAUGUUGGCUUAGAAGCAGCCACCAUUUAAAGAAAGCGUAAUAGCUCACUAGUCGAGUCGGCCUGCGCGGAAGAUGUAACGGGGCUCAAAUAUAGCACCGAAGCUGCGGCAUCAGACGAAAGUCUGUUGGGUAGGGGAGCGUUGUGUAAGUCGAUGAAGGUGGAUUGAGAAGUCUGCUGGAGAUAUCACAAGUGCGAAUGCUGACAUAAGUAACGAUAAAACGAGUGAAAAACUCGUUCGCCGGAAGACCAAGGGUUCCUGUCCAACGUUAAUCGGGGCAGGGUGAGUCGGCCCCUAAGGCGAGGCUGAAAAGCGUAGUCGAUGGGAAACGGGUUAAUAUUCCCGUACUUGUAAUAACUGCGAUGUGGGGACGGAGAAGGUUAGGUUAGCAGACUGUUGGAUGUCUGUUUAAGCCGGUAGGUGGGAAGAUUAGGCAAAUCCGGUCUUCCUUAACACCGAGAAGUGAUGACGAGUCUCUACGGAGAUGAAGUAAUCGAUACCACGCUUCCAGGAAAAGCCACUAAGCUUCAGGUUAUUAUAAACCGUACUAUAAACCGACACAGGUGGUCAGGUAGAGAAUACUCAGGCGCUUGAGAGAACUCGGGUGAAGGAACUAGGCAAAAUAGCACCGUAACUUCGGGAGAAGGUGCGCCGGCGUAGAUUGUAGUCCCUUGCGGAUGAAGGUUGAACCGGUCGAAGAUACCAGCUGGCUGCAACUGUUUAUUAAAAACACAGCACUCUGCAAACACGAAAGUGGACGUAUAGGGUGUGAUGCCUGCCCGGUGCUGGAAGGUUAAUUGAUGGUGUUAUCGCAAGAGAAGCUCCUGAUCGAAGCCCCAGUAAACGGCGGCCGUAACUAUAACGGUCCUAAGGUAGCGAAAUUCCUUGUCGGGUAAGUUCCGACCUGCACGAAUGGCAUAAUGAUGGCCAGGCUGUCUCCACCCGAGACUCAGUGAAAUUGAAAUCGCCGUGAAGAUGCGGUGUACCCGCGGCUAGACGGAAAGACCCCGUGAACCUUUACUAUAGCUUGACACUGAACAUUGAAUUUUGAUGUGUAGGAUAGGUGGGAGCCUUUGAAGCAGUCACGCCAGUGAUUGUGGAGGCGUCCUUGAAAUACCACCCUUUA
rnacentral:rRNA from 1 species